GCCAAUGAGCGCCGCCGGCCGCUCGGGGGUGUCUCCAGAAAGGCCCGAAAGGCGCUGACGUUGCGGCGCGUGAGGAUGCGCGCGGCGGGCGUGGGGAGGGCGCUGGCGAAGCGGCCGCGGAUUGGCCGAGCCGGGCGGGACGGCGCGUGCGCGCUCAGGGCCCGGGCUCGCGCCCCCCCCCUCCCGCCCCGCCCUUCCGCGUCCGGGCAGCGCUGGGACCCCGUGAGGGCGGGACGGACACGGCCGGCACCGGCCGUGAGGGCCACUCCACGGGAGGAGUGCGGCCAGCAGGGCAAGAGAGGUGAUCCUGCCCCUGUGCUCAGCCCUAGUGAGGCCUCAUGUAGAGUCCCGUGUCCAGUUCUGGGUUCAUCAGGACGAGCCAAUGGAGAGGGUGCAGUGGAGUGCCGCAAAGAUGAUGGGGGGACUGGAGCAUCUCUUUAUGAGGGCAGGAGAGACUGCAGGACCUGGGCCCGUUCAAUCUAAAGACACAGUGCGGGGGGUGUCUAAUAAAUUUACAUAAAUGUCUCCAAGGCAGGUACCAAGAGUUCUGGGCUCUCUUUCAUAUAGCCCAGCAACAGGACAAGAAGCAAUGGCCGUAAGCUAAAUCACGAGAAAUUUCACCUUAGCGUGAAGAAGAACUUCUUUGUAUUGAGGAUGGUGGAGCACUGAAAGAGGCUGCCUGGGGAGGGUGUGGGGUCUCCCUCUCUGGAGACAUUCAAACCCCUCCUGCAUGCGUUCCUAUGUCACCUCCUCUAGGUCACCCUGCCUUGGCAGCAGGGGCCCUUCCAACCCUAACAAUUCUGUGAUUGAGACCAGCAUAGCUCCUCUGGAAGCCCUUGGCUGCUUCCCGCUUUUGGUGCAGGCUCUUUCUGUCAGGACCGUUCCCAGGAGGCUGCAAGAGCUGUUGGAGCAGCCCCAGUCCUCAGCUGGUCCCUCAGGCUCAGGGCCAGCCCAGCUCCCCCCAGCCCUUGAGGAAAGGUGACAUUCAUUCCCAGCAUGGACUGCAGGGACAGAGGCACUGCCUCCCACAUCCAGCAAGGGCUGUGAACUUAACACUGUCAUUGCACAGGAUGCAAGGAAGUCAUUCAGCUUUCAUCUUGGGUCUGUGUGGUUAAGUGAGUAAGUCUUGAAACACCACUCUGUCUAGGCUGUCUGGAUGUGUUGGCCUGAGUUUCCUAGCUGCUUUUCUGACUGGCAUUGAGGCCUAGGGAAUAUAUGCGGGAAAACAAGCUUUGUGGCUGGUGUCUGCAGAUUGUUACCUCUCCCUUCAGAAUGGCUUGCAGGCAUGGACUUGCAGAAGUGAUGCUUGUAAUGCAAGGAAUAUAUCCAGAAUGCCACAUUGCUGUGCUGGGAGUAUGAGCUCGGCUCAUGGCUCCCUGCUGCACUGCGCGUCAUUGACCUGUGUGACCUGCCUUUGGCAAGACACAGCGCUCCAAGUGCCUCUGCUCUGGUACACAUUUACCCCCAGGACUCCAAGGACUUUGUCUCUCUCUCUCCUCAUACAGUGGUGCUUGCCUGCCUCUUCUCCAUUCUGGAGCUAUGGCAAGUCCUGCCAUGAUGCUGCUCCCUGUGCAUCUUGGUGCAUUUUAUAAAAGUUAUUUUCCACCACUGCAUGUGGGGAAAGUGGUGCAGCUGCCGCUGUUCACUUGGAGAAACUAAAGGAAGGAAAGUUGGAGUGAGUUGUGGGUGAUGCAAGAGUUAGGAGCAGACUUCCAUUUCCAGUCUCCCAGUGUUUCAUCUCCCUUUGUACCCAAUUAUCUCCAUUCUGUGACAUGAAGGUGACAGCACUGCGAACUGCAUUGACAUUUGCGGAGCACAAGCAGAAGAACAUUCGGUAACUCCUGGGCAGAUGCUUGCUCAAGGAAAUUGGAGAAGGUGCCCUUAGGUGCAGAGCAGCUUGCAGAAGUGUUCUGGUGGAGUCCUUCUCACAUCACGGGCUCACUUCUCUUUAGGAGCUUAGCCUUCCUCUUAGCUCUGAGUUUGGUGUAGUUUUAGACCUCUACAACCAGGAGGGAGAAGUUUUAUCAUGCUCAUUUCUCCACCACUGAUUACCAUUUGAAUGCGGGCAUUGGUGCCAGCAGUGCGUGGUGGUUUGUUAAACUGUUAAAUUUUAGACAAUGCCAGAGUGAAAGUGACCUUAAAAAUAAUCUUUUAACCACAGAAUCAGUAUAAUAGCUUUUAUACUACAAUAGAAACAGUAGAAUGAUAGACUAGAAUACACAUUUCUAGCUGGUGUGCUCUGUUGCUGCUCAGUGUGAAAUCUUAAAUGAGGCAGGGGCUCACAUAGAGCUGGCACCCUCUCCUUCUCCCAAGGAUACAGCAGUGUGGGGUUCAGGCUGUGGUGCAGAAGCUGUGCCUGGCUGGGAGGAGUAUAAAGGACACAUCUGGUUUAAGAGCACAGCUCAGCUGACCUAGUGACUAGCUGUCACCAAGGGGGUGGCUGUGUUUUACAGUCUGGACUAGUUCCUCUCCCCCUCCCAUACCUGUGCUGUCAUUGGUACUGGUCUGUCCCUGCAGUGGCCAGAUUCAGAAAACCAAGUGUCAGGAAAGUUUUCCAGCAUUUUGCAGGUCUAAUUUGCUGCUGAUUUUGAAUCUUGACCUGUCUCCUGAGACAUCAGACAGGUGUUGGUGCUAACACGAGAUGAUACAAUGAUAAUGCAUAGCACAUGAGGAGGAGCAGAGGUGUCUUUUUGUGUAGCAGCUGGCUGUUAGAUUGUAUUAUCUGUGCUCUCUAACUGCAUCCUGCAUCCUUGUUCAUAACAGCAAAUGCCACAAAUUCCUUCACAGGAAUAUAGGUGUGAGCGAUACUGCUGCAGUGGGAGAUAAUAAAAAUCUGUUUUCUGGUGCUGAUUUUCUAUGGAAAACCAGUUGGAAACGUGUUCAUGUGUAUUUAAUAAAGCAACUGCUAGACUAAAGGAUAAAUAUAAAGCUAAAUCAGUUUAUGAACCUUAGUGCUUACAAAUAGUUGUGAAAGCCUUUAUUCUUUCAUAUUCUCAAUAUCCCAUCUCACACAGUGAAGACUGUCAGUGCUUAUACAGCAUUCAGGCAGCCUGGAGGGGCUGCAUAGCCAGUUAGGGACUCACAGGAGUCUCUGUAAAAGUGCAGAGAGAUUUCCUCACAAGAGCUUUAGCACUUAAUAUGAAAACACUUUGAUUUAGAGGGACCAGAUGUGCUACAUUUGACUUCUGAUGGGCUAUUCAGAAAAAUAAUCUUUUCUGUGGUUUUUGGUCUUUUUUAGGAAUAGAGAGAAAAGCUGCUGAAAAUUCAUUAUUUAUGCUUAGAUGCUUCCUCCUUUUCCAGACACCUCUCAGUGAUGAAAUACCUUGAUGAUUUUGAAAGAAAAUGUUUCCAUUCCAAUGAAUAAGCAUCUUAGUUUUAAUCUAAUUUAAUUUUUAUGGAGUAUAAUGGAUCAUGGCAUUUUAUGUCACCAUACUGCACAUGCAAUACAACGAGGUUGUCAAUGUUUAAUAUAUAAAAGAAAGUCAAAAGUGAAAGAUGGAGAAAUCUUUUUCCUCAUGAUGCCAUCAAAAUACAGGAAAUGGCCUAAGGUCAGGCAUCAGGAUGAUGCUGUGUGGAUUCCUUUUCAAAAGAAGUGUGGCCAACCUUCCUUGGAGGGAUGUGAAUUUUAAGAAAGAGCAACCAUAUAAAAACAAGUAUUAAAAUAUAUCAAUAUAUUAAAAAGUAUAAAAUUUUCACAAACUGAUAUCCUGGCUUGGACUUUCAGUAUACAGUAAAAGGAGGUAACCUGGAUGCAGGCAGAACUGCUGUUGCUCUCCUGCACCUUCACCUUCUCCAGAAGUUUUGUCUAGACUUAAAAAUGUGUUUGUAAGGUGCUGUAGGGAUGCUUAGAUUAAUGAUUCUGCUGGUUUACGUGUUGCAAAAUUAAUCAUGUUGAGUUAACAGUGCACUUAAAUGUCUUCGGCAUUAUUUGAAUUAGAUUUCACACUACUGAGCUGAUGGUCUUGUGACACAACAGAACAUUCAUCAUUCCCGUGUGGGUGCUGUGUGCACAGUGGAGGGAUAGCUCAGUCUUGAUAUAUUUGUACUGUGAAAAGAAAGAGUUGACUUGGUGGGAAAUGGAGAGCUGAUAUUCUUAAUACAACCUCCUCCAGCUAUCGUGAAAAAUACUGGAAAGAAAUAAAAAAUCAAACAAAA